AAAACUCGUUAAUUAAUUAAUGUUAAUUCAUCUCAUUAAAUUUUUAGUUGAAUUUCCUAAUUAAUACCUACAACCAAAUAACUUCCUACCAAUAACACCUAACCUACCCAAUUACAACACUACAACACAUCAAUACAUAGCACUAAACUAGACAAUUUCCUACAAAUAUAUACCAAUCCUACACCCAUACAACACUACAAUCCAACAGCACACCACACUAACCAAAGCACAAUUACCCAAUAAUCCAUUUCCCACUUUUACACGUAUACAACAAAACCCCACUAACUUAUUCAAUUAUCAUUCCCACUACAACAAUCGACACACUCAUAUUACCCCAAUUCCAAUUCCAAUAAUUCCAAGGCCCACCAAUACAUUAACCCAUUAUCACAAUUCCCACUUAAUUCAUUCCCAACAAAAGACCUCAGCAUAUGCUAUCAGAUGCGCACAUACGCGUCAAUUUUUCGGACAAACAUCGCAAAAUCACCGCUCAAAUGGUAAUUUCUUUCCAUUCUCUCUCCAUUUCUGAGAUUUCAUAGAGCCCUCGUUAUUGCCUUUGAUUCAUAUUUUCUUGUCCGAAAUUCAAUGCGAAUCAGAAACCGUUUAGAUCAAUUUCAAAUUUUCAGGGAUAUGUUUUGAUAUUCUUUGAGUUUUGUAAAAUUUGAUCUUUUCUCUCUCUCAGAUGGCUCCUUUUGAAAUUCAAAUCAGUUAUUUUUGGCUAUAAAUACAACGCUUGUUUUCAUUGAAAGGGGAGAAAAAAAAGAACCAUUGAAAAUAUAGAGUAUUCAAUAGUUAUAAGAGGAGGAUUCAUUCUAAGAAAAAUGAUCUAAAAGAAGAGAAUUUCAAAACGAAAAUCUCUCAAAUAGCUCGACGAAACCUUAACUUAGAAGCAUAAAAAGCUUGAGUUUUCCAGUUCUUCUCGAAUUCGGAGUUCUUCUUCACUGGAUUCGGCUUAUAGGUGGUGGAGUCGCUUCGAAGUCGUCGUUCUAGUCCGCUGCUCUCAAAAAGAGACAGAUUUAAAAAAUCAUCAAUAGGCGCACCGUUGAAGAUCUGUUCACACUCAGCUUAUUGGUGAGUCCUCCCCUACAUUCGGAGGAUACCAUUUAUGUUAUUCUUGUGUCGAGUUUAGUCUUUUCAUUUUGAUUUGAGGUAGCCAUGAACCUGUCAUUGGCACCAAUUAGAUAGUAGUGAUGGAGGUUCAUAGACUAGAUAGUAAUGGGUCGAUUGAGUAUUUUAUUUUCUUGAAUUGUUCUUGUCAGACUAUUUUAAUGACAUAGAUUGGAAUUCGAUUUGUUGGCCCA